GGAGCAGUAGACGUGUCCCACCAGGGACAAGUGACGUCAGAUCGGUCCGACGUCGUGUCUCCAAAUGUUCCACUCCCGCAGCUGCUCUUGUCAGGAGUCUCUGGCACUUUGCGCAAAAUAUGUUUCUACAUCUGAACAAAGCUCGUCCCAAUCCGGACUCUACAAAGACAUCUCUGUAAACUAACUGAAACCUUCUUUUAUUUCCUGCAGGCUGUGAGCGACCAGAGACUGAUCCAUGCCGGCAAACUGCUGCCCGACCACCUGCACAUCAAAGAUCUCUUCAGACAGGCCGACGGGGUUCCCACACUGCACCUGGUGUGUCCACCGCAAAGGCCUCUGGGAGCUCGACCUAAGGGACCGCUGGUGGAGGGACGAAGGGUCUCAAACAUGCCAAAUGGGUUUGACUUAUUAAGCCCGGCAUGCACAUCACACAUCUUUACUCCACAAGUUAACAUGCAAGUUCUCUGAAGAUACGAUAAAGUGUCUCUGCAGAAGGAAACUAAAUGCAUCCACAAUCUUUUAUUUUGAAAAAUGAUCUCACAAACACAGGUGCUUGUCGCUCUUGACACAUUUCCCAAGCGGCAGCGACUUUCGGGAUGGGGGGGGGGGGUAGUUAGAUGGCGCAAGCACCACGUGCGCCCCCCGUUUCAUGUAACUGGAGCCCACCGUCACCUCCUCCCUCAGUAACCACAGUAACGCAG
ensembl:lncRNA